UGCUCUUUUUUGCUUUCUUCCAGAUGCUGUCUUAUGGUGAUGUGCUGGACGACAAAGUGCAUCCACUGUACAAAAACUUGAGUCUUUGGAGCUCUCCAAGAAGGGAAAUGGUACCUCUGGUGCUCAGGGCCCUGGUGACGCUGUCGGAGAGAGCCGAGACGGCAAGAAUAAUGAAGGGCCUCCUGCCUGAACUGCUGAAAUUCCUUUGGGAUCGGUCUUGGGACAUUUCAGUGAUGGCCAUGGACACCUGCCGAAAUGUGCUGGGGCAGCUGAAGAAGAGUGAGGCCAGCCCCAUGGCUGUGAAGGUGGUGCAUAAUCUCUUGCACCU
rnacentral:lncRNA from 12 species